rnacentral:rRNA from 1 species
GAUCAUGGCUCAGGAUGAACGCUAGCUACAGGCUUAACACAUGCAAGUCGAGGGGCAGCAUGGUCUUAGCUUGCUAAGGCUGAUGGCGACCGGCGCACGGGUGAGUAACACGUAUCCAACCUGCCGUCUAUUCUUGGCCAGCCUUCUGAAAGGAAGAUUAAUCCAGGAUGGGAUCAAAUGAGUUCACAUGUCCGCAUGAUUAAAGGUAUUUUCCGGUAGACGAUGGGGA